rnacentral:rRNA from 1 species
GACGGAGGAUGCAAGUGUUAUCCGGAAUCACUGGGCGUAAAGCGUCUGUAGGUGGUCAAAUAAGUCAACUGUUAAAUCUUGAGGCUCAACCUCAAAAUCGCAGUCGAAACUAUUAGACUAGAGUAUAGUAGGGGUAAAGGGAAUUUCCAGUGGAGUGGUGAAAUGCGUAGAGAUUGGAAAGAACACCGAUGGCGAAGGCACUUUACUGGGCUAUUACUAACACUCAGAGACGAAAGCUAGGGUAGCAAAUGGG